CCACUCUCCUACUAUCUCCUCCACUUGCUUCCCUUGUAUCAGGUGCUCUAUUGUAUGACUGCUAUCAAAUAGAGCAUGCUUGUACAAAGGAAGUUACUGGGGGUACAGCACUACACUUGAAA
rnacentral:precursor_RNA from 15 species